CUCCCAGACUCCUACGGGAGGCAGCAGUGGGGAAUAUUGCACAAUGGGGGAAACCCUGAUGCAGCGACGCCGCGUGAGUGAAGAAGUAUCUCGGUACGUAAAGCUCUAUCAGCAGGGAAGAAAAUGACGGUACCUGACCAAGAAGCCCUGGCUAACUACGUGCCAGCAGCCGCGGUAAUACGUAGGGGGCAAGCGUUAUCCGGAUUCACUGGGUGUAAAGGGAGCGUAGACGGCCAUGCAAGCCUGGAGUGAAAGCCCGGGGCCCAACCCCGGGACUGCUCUGGGAACUGUGCGGCUGGAGUGCGGGAGGGGCAGGCGGAAUUCCUGGUGUAGCGGUGAAAUGCGUAGAUAUCAGGAGGAACACCGGCGGCGAAGGCGGCCUGCUGGACCGCGACUGACGUUGAGGCUCGAAAGCGUGGGGAGCAAACAGGAUUAGAUACCCUUGUA
rnacentral:rRNA from 1 species